UGGGGGAGAGUGUCACCCCAUAAAAUUUUUGCUCCAAAAUUAUCCAAAUUAUUUUUGUUUGCUGGCUGUCCAUUUGAAGGCUUGAUGGGUGGCGCAUGAAUUUUUGCUAAGUGUGGACGUGAAAUUGCAUGGAGUCCUUAAAUGGGGCGUGAGACUUUUGCAUGGGACAUGCAAUGGGAGCUUUCACGUGGAAUUGUUAAUAUGCAUGGGAAAAGUGGGACGUCUCUUGCAUGGAAAUGAGAUAGUGGAAGUGCAUUAUGAAAUCCCAAAGUGGCCAAGUGUAGCGUGGUGCAUGUGGAGCGCACCAAAUUGGCCCAAAGGUGAACCGCAUGUGGAAUUUGUGUAUUGCAUGGGAUAUCACAUGCAAUGACGUAAGGGACCAUCACGUGGGACUUGGGCUGAAGCAAGUUACGUGCAUGGCAUCUUCAACCAUGCAUUGGGGGAUUGGAGGGAAAAUCUCCCGCCACUUGGAGCUGGCCAAGGGGCCCAGCUGGUUGGGCGCCCAAUUUUCCCUCCACCAUUUCAAGUUUCAUGCGGCAAGUGGACAACUUGGAGCUAGGUGGCGUGCUCAAAUUCUGCCCCAUGUCCACAAUGAUAACACCUCAUUUUCCCAUGCUUAUUUUAGGACACCUUACAUUAAUGAAUUCUGCCAUUUGUUGGGUACUCUUGGGACAGCUUGCUUGUAUAUAAAAGGGCUUUGUUCCCUCUUGUUUUAGUGGACGGGUGAGAGUGUAAACUUGAGAGAGUUUGUGAGAGUUUUCUUUUGGCAAAUGUACAGCCGAUUCAUGUAAUGAAAGCAGUAGUCCUUUGCAACUUCUUCUCUUUAUUUCUACAUUUCUUUGUGUGGUUGAUGCGCAUGGUUUGCUUGCUUAUAUUGUGUUGAUGAUUGUUGGGAGUGUUGCUGUUUGAUUGUUUCUUGCUUGCUUGUGUUGUGGCGUGUUGAUGCUGGUUAUUGUUGGGUGGCCAUUGUAAUUCUUGGUGGUGGGAAUUAUUGCCGUGGGACACCUUGUAUAUUGGUUGGGAUUAGUUGCCGUGAACCUUGAGUGAGGUUCUUUGGGUCCUUGUAGUUUGGGUGUAAACUGGUUGCCGUAAGGAUUCAAGGGACAAAAGGGAGGCUGACUUGCGUGUGGAGUG
rnacentral:misc_RNA from 1 species